rnacentral:rRNA from 1 species
AGCGGCGUUCCAGAGAUGGUUCUUCCCCUUUGGGGUCGGUAUACAGGUGGUGCAUGGUUGUCGUCAGCUCGUGUCGUGAGAUGUUGGGUUAAGUCCCGCAACGAGCGCAACCCUCGUUCCAUGUUGCCAGCACGUGAUGGUGGGGACUCAUGGGAGACUGCCGGGGUCAACUCGGAGGAAGGUGGGGAUGACGUCAAAUCAUCAUGCCCCUUAUGUCUUGGGCUUCACGCAUGCUACAAUGGCCGGUACAAAGGGUUGCGAUACUGUGAGGUGGAGCUAAUCCCAAAAAGCCGGUCUCAGUUCGGAUUGAGGUCUGCAACUCGACCUCAUGAAGUCGGAGUCGCUAGUAAUCGCAGAUCAGCAACGCUGCGGUGAAUACGUUCCCGGGCCUUGUACACACCGCCCGUCAAGUCACGAAAGUCGGUAACACCCGAAGCCGGUGGCCCAACCCUUGUGGAGGGAGCCGUCGAAGG